rnacentral:rRNA from 1 species
UGCGCAGGCGGCCGUGUGUGUCAGGUGUGAAAUCCCGGGGCUUAACCCCGGAACUGCGCCUGAAACUACAUGGCUAGAGUAUUGGAGAGGGUAGCGGAAUUCACGGUGUAGCAGUGAAAUGCGUAGAUAUCGUGAGGAACACCAGAGGCGAAGGCGGCUACCUGGACAAUUACUGACGCUCAGGCACGAAAGCGUGGGGAGCAAAAGGGAUUAGAUACCCCUGUAGUCCACGCCCUAAACGGUGCACACUAGGUCUUGGCGGAUUCGACCCCACCAGGGCCCAAGCUAACGCGUUAAGUGUGCCGCCUGAGGACUACAGCCGCAAGGCUAAA